rnacentral:lncRNA from 1 species
GGGUUGGCGUAGGGAGAAGAGUCCUAUUCCAAUAAAGACUCUAAGUUUCCUUAUUUGAAUCCAAACCAAAUCACAUUUGGUUUAGCCCAACUAAAGUAUAUGAAACCCAAUCUAGUUAAGUUUUUAAAUUCUUAAUCAAAUCUCAAUCAAACUAGAAAUUGAUUAAACUAAAGUCCUGAUCAAAUCAAAGAUAAUUCUCCCUUAGCGAUAGGUCAUCUCAUAACC